rnacentral:rRNA from 1 species
GAGGUAGCCAUCAAUAUAUAUAUUUUAUUUUUUUUUUAAUUGGGGUAGCCCCCAAAAUAUUGGGACAUAUAAAAAAAAGACAACUCUGUUCUGCAGAGUAGCUGUUGACAUUAUAGUUGCGCAGGAACUUUGUUGACUCUAGAGAACCUCGGGCAAAUCGCACAUCCCCGUGGCAGCGACUUUGCAUGCGGAUGUCAUCCAUAUCAACUUUCGAUGCCAGUUUCUGCGCCUACCAUGGUGACCACGGGUAACGGGGAAUCAGGGUUCCAUUCCAUACAGGGAUCCUGAGAAAUGGCUACCACAUGCAAAGAAGGCAGCAGGAGCGCAAAUGACCCACUCCCGACGCGAGAAGGUAG